GCUUGGUUAUGCAAUGAAGGCCCUACCCUCUCCAUCAAUAAUUUGGGACAUAAAAUUGCAAGAGACAGAGGAUGUUUACAAGUUGCGGUUCCUUUUCCAUGUAAACACCACUGUGCUCAGCAGUGCUAACUCUGGAAUAAUGGCUUUCUCCAUCCUGUGAGAUUUUUCAGAGAAAAUUCCUUUCUAAGGUGGGUUAGGGACUCUGUUUGGGGGGGGUACAGGGCGGUGAGGCUUUCCCUUGGAGUCUCUUUCAGGCACUGUCUCAAACCCAUGACACACCAGCCCAGGAAUGCCAUCCAGAGCCAAGAGGAGCCCUGUGCCUCUUCUCUUCCUGGCACCGAGAGCUCACAAAACCCGAGCAGGCGCGCCCGGAUGGCAUUCUGGGCUGUGGGAAAGCCGUGAAUGGGCUCAUUGAAGUGCAUCCAUGAAAAUGAGGGCCCUUUGCAACUGGCAGGGCGUUCAAAGGAUUCCAGAGGCCAUUCUUGGCUGGGGGAGAAAGGAGGCCGUAAGAAAUCUAAAAGCCUGAGGAUCGCUCUGCUUAACAGGGAGACCAGGAAAGCUGCCCUCUCUCCUCCCCCAUAAAACGAAGCUAUUCAGGAUCCUUCAAACGCCAGGCAGCGCAACAAAUCACUUUGCCAAACGUGAUCUUUGAAGCACAGGCGACUCAGUGCCUGAGAGCGAGUGCGUCCUUCUCUUUCUGCGCAUCCACGGAAGAUGCGCUGCCUCUCUGGGGAUUUACUCAGGGGCUGCGUAAGCCACGCCUCCCACCCCCGCCCCCAUGGGUAGGGAUCCAAGCCAAGGUGAUGUGCUUUGCCUACAGGCUGUGAAAAUGCUUCUGGAACUUCCGGAAUCAGGUUCAUCUGUAUAGUAGAGUGAAUGAAUGAGAUUAAAAGGGUUUUGAGGAGUUCCCUGGUGGCUCAGGGGGGUAAGGAUCUGGCCACUGCUAUGGCUUGGGUCACUGAUGUGGCCCAGGUUGGGGAACUCCGCAUGCUGGAAGCGCGGCCAAAAAAAAAAAAAAAAAAGAGUUUUGAUUUAAUCUUGAAUGUGGAAUUCCUUUGUCUUUUAGAGAUAAUGAGCUGUGUGGUGAUCAGCCCAGGCCUCAGAAGAAGUAGAUAAGGGGCAACCUCAGAGCCCUUCACCCACUGGACGCCACUGAGGACAGGAUCUCUGGAACAGGCACUACACCCCAUUGUGAUGUCCAGACGCCAGCUGGGUUUCCAGGGGCAACGGGGCUGCCCCAGUUCUGAGCCCAGGGGACCCCAGGAGGCAGAUGUGCUCUGGGGCGUGAGAUCCAUUAAGUCCGCCUCAGGAAAGCUGCAUCCUCCACACUGAAACCACACCGGCAUUAGGACACUCCACCCAGCCUCUGGAAACACCCACCACUGCCUUCUUCUGGAAAGCACCUGCUCUAGUCCCUGGAGACUCGUAUUAGGGCAGAAUCCAACAGAAGAAUUCCGUGGUCAGCAGAGAAAGCCCCAUCUCAGCAUCCAUGGAGCAGGUGCAUCUGAGCACAAGCCUGGUGGACCAGCCGACAAGCCUAAGACAAGGGCACAGGAAGCCUGGGUAUUGCCCACCAACACUCCAUCCAGUUCUCCCAUGGCCUGCCUUGAGGUCUACCAAGCAUUUAAAAGUCACCUUACCUGCCUGGGUAAGUUUAACCAUAUGUACCAAUAUUUCAUCAAGCGAUGCAUACAAAAGGGAGAGAGAACCCAGCUGAAGGGUGGCUACAGUGACAGGCAUAGGCUCUGGGGAUGAUCAGUUAAGACCACAAGCGGAGACACAACUGAGGCACAGUUGUGACACUGAGACACAGGACCACAAACUGAUUCAGCUCUGAUGACGGUGGUGGUCGUCUGAGACAGCACUGCCAUCAUCCUUCCGUGAACAUGAUGCUGACGUACUUCUGAUGGCUCCCUCAAUGCGAAGUCUGACUUGAAAUUUGGGAAAGGAACCUGCAGUAAAGGGGAUCCAGUGCCACUGGGCCUUCACUUCUUAGAGGGUAAUCACACCUCAGUUAUGUCCCCUUGUCAGAACAGCACAGACUCUUGGGAGUUCCCUGGUGGCUCAGAGGAUUAAGGAUCUGGCAUUGUCUGGCUGCUGUG